UCAUUUCCCUCUCCCUCCACCGCCCCCACCCACUCUCCUCGCUGCGGGACAGAAGAGAGAAGUGACCAAGCGCCGGCGACGAGGCGGGCAUGCGUCGGUGACGAGGCGGGCGGCGACGGGGAGAAGUUUCACCGGUGGUGCAGGGGCCGGAUCUGGCCGAAAUCGGGCCGAAGGCGGGGGAGAGGCAGAUGCUCGCCGGACGAGCUCAGUGUCAGCACCAGCACGCUCGUCGGGGAGUGCGGCGAGCAGCAGCAGGCUCGAUGGAGAAGGGCGGCGUGCAGGGGAGAGGCGGAGGCUCACCACCAGCACGCUCGCCGGAGAGUUCGGCGAGCAGCAACCCACCACCAGCAGGCUCGCUGGGUGGCGCUCCGGAUCCUGCGUUGGCGCGGCGAGGCCUCCUCCCCUCGUCCCAGCCGUAGGAGGACACACAGUUCAAGUCUUCAUGGCAAGUUUUUGUUGCACUGCACUGUGAGGCUGUUUGCUGCAUCUGAUAUUUUCUUCAAGUCUAAUCUCAUUGCUGUUAUAAAGGAAGAUGCCUGCUACGACCGUGUUCGUAGUCUCGUUGAUCAGCUCCGGCCAUGGCUCCAGUGAAAUAACGUGCUCUGCUAAUUCUGCAUUUUUUGACUAAAAAGCAUAUACUGUGUGUGACUCAUAUUUUGUGGGGUUGCAGAUUCUCAGUGAGGAAGCCAGCAGGAAGUAUAUCACUCUGCUUUUGUGAAUGCAGUGAGCCGUUGUGCCAUUUCCUGGCCGCCGAGCCUUCAGAUUCGGCGCUUCGACGAAAGAACGGGGGGACUCGCCCAUCUACUUCGCCAACUCCGGUAACACGCGCGAGAGGAUCACACGAACGGACCAGUGCCAAGGGCAAGACCGGCGUGCAGUACAUCGUCCUUGACAUGGGUGCAGCCAUCAGCAGCAUCGUCAGGAGGGGCAUGCUGGACGAGCUCAAGAAGACCCUGGACAGGAGGGGCAUUCAGCAAACGUGGGAGAAAUUUAUAUUCAGUUAGCAGAUGGCAAUUUAUAUUCAGAUGAUAUGGCUACUUCAUAUCAGGGAGAAAUUUUAGAGUGAAGAGCAUAUUAAGUUACCAUCAGUUUUUUUGACAUACCAAAUUGAUGCUGGAACUGUAUGCACUGGUAAUGUUAAUUGCCAUGGCAAAAAUACUUUUUAAUAAAGUCGCCAUCAGUUUUUUAUUCAGUAAAAUGAUGGGCAUGGGAACUAUGCAUUAUUCUGUAGGAAGUUCAUCGAAUCCAUUCAUAACUUGGCAAAUUUAUAUAUAAUUUGUAUGGCAAAUUCAGUUACACACAGUGGCGGAGCGUAGCGGGGACAAUACCGGGCCUUGGCCCCCCCUUGCUAGGGGAAAAUUUACACAAUAUGCUUAUAUUUUUACUAAUCGCUCUACUAAUCAUCCGGCAUGUCUGAUCACCCUAGUCUUUUCUAUGUCAUUCACUCGUUUUGGCCCCUCCUGAUAUUUGGUUCACGCUCCGCCACUGCUUACACAUUAUGUUUCCACAACAUGGCAAAUUUGUAUAUUUCAAUCUUCGUAAUAACCACAUGGCGAUGGGCAGGUGUGAUGGGCUGCACCGAUUCAGACGACCGUGCGAGGGAGGCAAAUUUAGUUUAUUGACCAUGACACGUUUUAUUAAUUGACCAUGGCAAGUUUUUAUUAAUUGACCAUGGCAAAUUUUUAAUUUCUUUUUCGACCAUGACAAAUUUAGUUUAUUGACCAUGGCAAGUUUUGUUAAUCGGCCGUGGCAAAUUUUAAGUCCGACCAUGGCAAGUUUAGUAAUUGACCAUGGCGAAUUUAAUUUAUUGACCAUGGCAAGUUUUAUUAAUUGACCAUGGCAAAUUUUAAGUCCUUUUUCGACCAUGGCAAAUUAUUUUUUGGUAGAUCAUGGCAAAUUUAGUAAUUGUUAAGAACAUCCACAUCUUCUGUCAUGCCCUUUUUUGGCAAAUUUUACUCCAUUUUUGCCAUGGCAAAAAUACUUUUAUUCACGCAGCAAACUUUAGUGUAAGUUGCCAUGGAAAUUUUUAGUUUAAGUUGCCAUUGCAAAUUUUAUUUUUAGUUGCCAUGGCAAAUUUAUUGUUAGGUGCAUGGCAAUUUUAAUUUAAAUAUUAUGGAAAAUUUACAUUUUAUACAACAUGGCAAAUUUUCCUAUGUAGCAUCUUAAAUAUAUUUGUGUAGCCCAUGGCAUUUUUUAAUUUAUUUCCAUGGCAAAAGUACUACAUUUUUGCCGUGGCAACAAUUAAACCAUUCUUGCCAUGGCAAUUUUUACUUUUAAUGGCACGGCAAUUUUUACUUUCUUUGCCAUGGCAAUUUUUACUCUAUUUUUGCCAUGGCAUUUUUUACUUCUAAUAUAAGCUGAUGCAUGAAAUAAAUCUCUAGAUGAACAUCUGCUAGAUGCCAUGGGAACAUGGCAUAUUUUGUAGAGAAAUGUUGAAAGAUGGUAAUUUUGAGUAUAACAUAACAUACAUUUUUUGUGCAGAACAUGGUGAAUUGUUGAACAACUUUUUAGUAGAUUUCCCAUACUGUUUUUAGUGACUUACAUUCUGGACCCAUGAGCAUGUCAACUUUUUUCAUAGCAUGGCAAAAGAUCAUGGCAUUUUUGUCGUGCAAACGGACAAUGUCUAUUUUGUCACAGCAAAAAUAGGGCUUUUUCGUUCUUGUGGGCUUUUUUGUACAGAAAAAAGGCCUGUAGGGGCGAUGGGAAGGAGCGUUCGGGCUGGGAGGCCUCUCCCCCCGAAUGAUUUCGUUCGUAGGGGGCUGCCUGUCGCACCGAACUCCUCGUUUGGUCUGGGAGGCCCCCAGACCGAAUGUUCGGUCCUUAUCGACGUCCGUCUUAAGUAAAGGACCCCGAUAACACACAAGCAUAUGUCAACAACAUAAGGGUUCACAUGGCAAGAACUUUGUCAUGUACAUGGCAAUAAUUGAGGAUGGCAACUUCUCUUCACUUCUAACCUUUUUUGGAUUUUUGUUUUCAUAAACACAUGGGAACAUCACUUUAACAUGGCUGUCAUUUUUUCUACAAACCCACACGACAACUAAAUAUAUACCUUUGCUACACUAGCCCCCUCAUGGUCUACAAAUGGGAAACAUACAUGCAUUUGUCAUCAGUAGCAGUUUUUAGAUGGCAAGAACAAUGUCACAUACUCCCUCCGUCCCAAAAUUCUUGUCUUAGAUUUGUCUAAAUACGGAUGUAUCAAGUCACAUUUUAGUAUUAGAUACAUCCGUAUCUAGAUAAAUCUAAGACAAGAAUUUUGGGACGGAGGGAGUACAUGGCAACAAUGGGGUUGGCAGCUUCCCCCCAUUUCGACACUUUCGGAUCCUGUUUCAUAGACUCAUGGCAAUAUACCUUUAACAAGGUUGGCAAUUUUCUCAAACCCCACACAUCAUCUACAUAAAUCCUUUUGCUACACUAGCUCCAUCUCUUCAAAAGUUUCAAAAAACAGAUCUGGAAGCGUCGUCAGUAGCAACAAUUAGAUGGUAAGAACUAUCAUAUAGAUGGCAAACUAUAGGGGAUGGCAAGAAUGCAUAAUUCAUCAAACUACCACACUUUUUUUUUGUUCUUCUUUUUUCACAAACAGAUCGGAGCAUGGCAAGAUCAGCACAAAACACAUGGCAAGAACGGAAACACAAACUUCAUGGCAAGAACAGGUUCUCUUUUCAUGCGGCUAAGUUGCCAUGUGUGUUAGUUUUCUGUGUUCUUUGCCAUCUAUGUGAUACUGGGACAGGGCGUUUUGGUGCCCAGGUCCAGCUGAACCUGAAAUCUUAGGCGUUGAAUGGUGCACCGGGAUGCUAGAAAAUCCUACUGGCAUGCCAAAACCUGUCUGUCGGGAAAUUAGAUACAUCCAGUAUACUGGAUGGUACAGUGCAGUACGGUGGGCCAUUUGCGUAGUCAGGACGCCUGUUCGGUAGUGCACGUGAGCGCGUCCGGCGGCUUUUCCAUCUGAGCCAUGGCUCAGGGACAGGUCGGUUGGAGUUGUGAGCCGUGGCGCAUAAUUGUAGGAGAUGCCGGUAGAUUUUGACGAUUAUAUAGUGGGUGGGAGCAAACUAAUAUCUCUUGUGGACGUGCGAGAUCUCUGGGUCUUCCAAAACCGAGUAGACCUAGCAGGUUUGGAUGUCGUCGGCGGCGGACUGACAUCACCGGAGAGCCAUGGCAGACGACAGCUCUUCAACGAUUGGCAUGUGAAAAUCUCCAUCGGAACGAUUAUCCUUGUGUUGUUCUUCAACGAUUGGCUGAUUGCUCGCUUGUUUCAACCUGGAGCAGGUGCAGGUUCUGGCUGUACCUAGCCGGCUCAAACUAUAGAGUUGACGGGGAAGGUCAACCCUGAAGCCUUCAGUCUUUGACUUGACGGACAGAUACACAAAGUUAGCAGUAACAAAAAGGAUGCGGGGAGGUGCGAGUCUCCGUGCUUUGCUAUGAGCCUGACCACUUCGUCACUGCACGAAAAGCACGGGAUGAGAGGAUGAGAGGGAGUAGCUGUUGGUGCUGAGCUGCGGUGGAAGAAAUGGAUCUGAGGCGGGCAUCGGACGAGAAAUGGAGUGGGGUGCCAGACCUGGAGGAAACAAGUAGAAUCCCAUCGACAACGCCAGUCCAGCACAGCCCAGGAAAAGCAGCAGGACCGUUGGCCGCUUUACAUGAACCGGGACGACCCUCUAGUCACCUUACAGAAUUAAAUGCGGAGGGCCGGUUCGAUUCUCUACCCAAAUACACGUGAGAUACGAGAAACAAAUACGGGGAACUGCAGCGAUCUUGAGAACUAGCGAUGGUCAGGAUAGCGAGUGCAUCUGAGCCCGGGCUCAGAAACGAAUUUUCGGUGAUACUGCUCAUAGCUUCUUCUAGGCACAAACAAUACCACUCAGAUGGCAACAAUGGCUAGGUUAGAUAGGGGGAAAGGGGAGGAGGGUUGGGGAGGCAGCAUGGGGCAUGCAAAAAUUCACCUGAUUUCACUUGAAUUAGCUCAGCUUCUGUAGGGUUCCUCAAAUCUUUCCAUAGCAACUUCCAUGGAUUUCAAUGGAGGGGAUGGAGGGGAAGAUCUGUUGGAAAUAUGCCCUAGAGGCAAUAAUAAAUUGGUUAUUAUUAUAUUUCCUUGUUCAUGACAAUCGUUUAUUAUCCAUGCUAGAAAUUGUAUUGAUAGG